UUGUGCUAAGCGGGGAGCUGACGGUGCCCUGUACCCGAAAUCCGUCUCAGCGGGGCCGAAUUCCCUUCCGAGGGGUCCGGCCGGACGAUCGGAUCCAAGCCGAUCGGUCGCCGCGUAACAUACCCCCACGAACCUCGUCAGGUCCGGAAGGAAGCAGCGAUAAGGGGUGUGGUAUGUGUCGUGGAUCGAUCCCGAUCAUCCCCUUGGUUCCUGGCUCCGGCCAUUCUCGACGAAGGGUGCACAA
rnacentral:SRP_RNA from 1 species